GACGAACGCUGGCGGCGUGCUUAACACAUGCAAGUCGAACGGUAAGGCCCCUUCGGGGGUACACGAGUGGCGAACGGGUGAGUAACACGUGGGUAAUCUGCCCUGCACUUCGGGAUAAGCCUGGGAAACUGGGUCUAAUACCGGAUAUGAACUCCUGCCGCAUGGUGGGGGUUGGAAAGUUUUUCGGUGCAGGAUGAGCCCGCGGCCUAUCAGCUUGUUGGUGGGGUAAUGGCCUACCAAGGCGACGACGGGUAGCCGGCCUGAGAGGGUGAUCGGCCACACUGGGACUGAGACACGGCCCAGACUCCUACGGGAGGCAGCAGUGGGGAAUAUUGCACAAUGGGCGAAAGCCUGAUGCAGCGACGCCGCGUGGGGGAUGACGGUCUUCGGAUUGUAAACCCCUUUCAGUAGGGACGAAGCGCAAGUGACGUACCUGCAGAGAGC
rnacentral:rRNA from 1 species